UUUUCUAACUUAUUGCAGCUACUUCAUCAGUUCCAGCGUCUAAGACAGAGCCCUCUCCCUCCCUCCCUUCCGCUGGUUCUCUGCCUAGCGUGGUGUCCACUACUGCUUCGCUUCUGCCUUCAGCAUCGCAGCACUCUGCAGCAUUGCCCAGCUUGCCUCAGUCCAGUGAUUUGGCCAGCAGCUCACUUUCCCAGUUAAGCAGCUCCCUUUCCAAUCAUCAGAGCAGCCUCUCCUCUGCCUCAGUGUUGUCUUCAAGCACAUCACAUGCACACACUAGUGUUGAGAAUACCACUUCGCUCCAGCCCUCAACAACCUUUUCAACUGCUUCAACCUCAGCCACUAGCACCACCUCUUCGGUUGUCAGCAUGGCCAGCAGUAUGAAUACUACAAACAGCCUUGGCCUGAGUGUUACCAGUGUGUCUAUACCAGCUGCUACUACGCGGGCAGCUCCCUUAGUGUCUUCAGGCAAAGCUCCCCCCAACCUGCCCCAAGGUGUACCUCCCUUGUUGCAUAACCAGUAUAUUGUGGGACCUGGAGGACUUCUGCCUGCCUACCCAAUUUAUGGUUAUGAUGAUCUCCAGAUGCUUCAAUCCAGGCUGCCAAUGGUAAGUAAAUGACUUGGCUUUUUCACUUUAAACA